rnacentral:rRNA from 1 species
AACGGCGGCCGUAACUAUAACGGUCCUAAGGUAGCGAAAUUCCUUGUCAGGUAAGUUCUGACCCGCACGAAUGGUGUAAUGAUCUGGGAGCUGUCUCAACUGCCCGCCCGGCGAAAUUGUAGUACCGGUGAAGAUGCCGGUUACCCGCGACUAGACGGAAAGACCCCAUGGAGCUUUACUACAACUUAAUAUUGAGUAAUUGCAAAUCAUGUAGAGGAUAGGUGGGAGGCUAUGAAGUAAUGGCGCUAGCUAUUAUGGAGCCGCCCUUGGAAUACCACCCUUGAUUUACAGUUAUUCUAACUUCCUCCCUGGAUGGGAGGGAAGACAGUGUUAGGCGGGUAGUUUGGCUGGGGCGGCCGCCUCCCAAAUAGUAACGGAGGCGCCCUAAGGUACCCUCAGUAUGGUCGGAAAUCAUACGUAGAGCGCAAAUGCAUAAGGGUGCUUGACUGCGAGACACACAGGUCGAGCAGGUACGAAAGUAGGGAUUAGUGACCAGGCGGUUUCAUUGUGGAAUGGCCGUCGCUUAACGGAUAAAAGCUACCCUGGGGAUAACAGGCUGAUCGCGUCCAAGAGUUCACUUCGACGACGCGGUUUGGCACCUCGAUGUCGGCUCAUCACAUCCUGGAGGGGCAGUACCUUCCAAGGGUUAGGCUGUUCGCCUAUUAAAGUGGUACGCGAGCUGGGUUCAAAACGUCGUGAGACAGUUUGGUCCCUAUCUGUCGUGGGCGUAGGAAGUUUGAAAGGAUCUGACCCUAGUACGCAAGGACCAGGUUGGACGUAACUACGGUACACCGGUUGUUUCGCCAGAAGCAUAGCCGGGUAGCCGCUUACGGAUCGAAUAAACGCUGAAAGCAUCUAAGCGUGAAAUCGUCCUUAAGAUGAGACUUCCGAUUCUAACGAAUUAAGAUCCCUUCUAUGUUAGGAGGUUGAUAGGUCACAGAUGUACGCAUAGUGAUAUGUUUAGUCGAGUGAUACUAAUAGAUCGAUCACUUAUUUCA